rnacentral:rRNA from 1 species
UGGGGAAUAUUGCGCAAUGGGGGAAACCCUGACGCAGCAACGCCGCGUGAAGGAAGAAGGCCUUCGGGUCGUAAACUUUUGUCUUCUGGGAAGAAAAAAAUGACGGUACCAGAGGAGGAAGCCACGGCUAACUACGUGCCAGCAGCCGCGGUAAUACGUAGGUGGCAAGCGUUGUCCGGAAUUACUGGGUGUAAAGGGCGUGUAGGCGGGAGAGCAAGUCAGAUGUGAAAUACCGGGGCUCAACUCCGGGGCUGCAUUUGAAACUGUUCUUCUUGAGUGCAGGAGAGGUAAGUGGAAUUCCUAGUGUAGCGGUGAAAUGCGUAGAUAUUAGGAGGAACACCAGUGGCGAAGGCGACUUACUGGACUGUAACUGACGCUGAGGCGCGAAAGCGUGGGGAGCAAACA